UACGUAGGGUGCAAGCGUUGUCCGGAAUUAUUGGGCGUAAAGAGCUCGUAGGCGGUUCGUCGCGUCGGCUGUGAAAUCCCGAGGCUCAACCUCGGGUCUGCAGUCGAUACGGGCGGACUGGAGUUCGGCAGGGGAGACUGGAAUUCCUGGUGUAGCGGUGAAAUGCGCAGAUAUCAGGAGGAACACCGGUGGCGAAGGCGGCUCUCUGGAACGCAACUGACGCUGAGACGCGAAAGCGUGGGGAGCAAACAGG
rnacentral:rRNA from 1 species